GAUGAACGCUAGCUACAGGCUUAACACAUGCAAGUCGAGGGGAAACGAUAGAGAAAGCUUGCUUUUUCUAGGCGUCGACCGGCGCACGGGUGAGUAACGCGUAUCCAACCUGCCCACCACUUGGGGAUAACCUUGCGAAAGUAAGACUAAUACCCAAUGACGUCUCUAGAAGACAUCUGAAAGAGAUUAAAGAUUUAUCGGUGGUAUAAGAUGGACCCGCGUCUGAUUAGCUUGUUGGUGAGGUAACGGCCCACCAAGGCGACGAUCAGUAGCCGGCCUGAGAGGGUGAACGGCCACAUUGGGACUGAGACACGGCCCAAACUCCUACGGGAGGCAGCAGUGGGGAAUAUUGCACAAUGGGGGAAACCCUGAUGCAGCGACGCCGCGUGAGUGAUGAAGUAUUUCGGUAUGUAAAACUCUAUCAGCAGGGAAGAUAAUGACGGUACCUGACUAAGAAGCACCGGCUAAAUACGUG
rnacentral:rRNA from 1 species